CUCUUUAUCCCAGACUCCUCCCCUGCAAUCUCCCUCUUAGAGACCGCGUCUCUGCCCUCUCAACCCAGAGGUAGACUAAAGCUUGGCUAAUCAAAGCAUCCAGUGCCUUUGACCACAGUAAGAGCUGGAAGACUGGGCACAUGGCCUCUUCAGAGCCGCUGAGAUGGAAGAGAAUCUUUGCUGAAACUUCUGGGAAAGAAAUGAACUUUCCUGCUGGACUUUAUUCAUGAGAAGAUACACUGUGGAUUGUGACCUGUUGGUGGGCCAUGAAAUCAGUUUGGAGGUUUGAGAGCACCAUUCUUUUAAUAAAACAGAAGAGAAUCAUCUGCAAUAAGGAACCCAUGGAUGAAUACCAUCUGGUCCUGAUGAUUUACUGCACAGAGUCCCUCAAGUUGCUCCAUACCUUUCUCCUCAGAGACUGAAGAAUCUCUGUCAAGGCCGUUCUCUGCUUUGCCAUAAAAUGUGUCCUUGG